GUAGGUGAACCUGCGGAAGGAUCAUCAACAACAAAUCUAAGAGUGGACGCAAGUCUACUUUAACCAAUGUGAAUUGUAGUAUGAAAAUACUAUGAAUAUAUACUAGAGUUUUUAGAGUCUGUAUUAAAAUGAAUAAUUUUAAACAACUUUUAACAAUGGAUCUCUUGGCUCUU
rnacentral:misc_RNA from 1 species